UGUGUGCAAGGUGAAGGUCUAUAUCCUUCCGAGAGAAAAAGAAAGAAAAGAAAGAAAAAGUGUGCGCAGGGUUUCAGUGAGUUCUUCAGGGUUUUAGCCUGGAGUUUGAGAAGUGAGAAGGUGAGCUACGAGUGUUGUGAGCCCACCAAAUUUUAGAGAGAUCUUCAACAUCCUCUCAAGCAUAUCUGUUGAUGAUCCAGAGCAUCCAAAGAGUCGACAGACAUCGAUCGAAGGAGUUCGAUCAGCAUCGACCGUCGAAAGGGCUCUACAACGAGCUAGCACUCGUGUGAAGUCGAUCAGAUCGGGAGCU
rnacentral:lncRNA from 1 species